ensembl:snRNA U6 U6 spliceosomal RNA
GUGUUCGCUUCGACAGCACAUAUACUAAAAUUGGAACGAGAGAUUAGCAUGGCCCCUGUGCAAGGAUGACAUGCAAAUUCGUGAAGCGUUCCAUAUUUUU